UGAAAGCCGCCUUGCUCUGAUCCAAAUCUUUCUGGAUCCUUUGAAGGGAACCUGUCACCAAGUCUUUAUCUUCCCUGACUUUACCAGCAACGUAGUUAAACUCCUCGCUGAGCCUAGCAUGGUUCUCUUGGUUAGCGAGCCAGAUAGUCCUAUCCUUAGUGACCUGUUCAGAGAGGUCUUGGACGCUUUGCUGGGUGGUGUCGACUUUCGAGCUGAGCGAGUCAAUGUUUUACUGGGUGGUGUCGACUUUCGAGCCGAGCUCAUUCUUGAGCUCGUUCUUCAGUUCCCCAAACAUCUGGUGGACUUCAUCCGCGGGCAGAGUAGGUCCUACGUCUUGGGUUGGUCGUGAACCUGUCAUUGUGGUUUUGCUAUGGUCGGGGUUGCCAAACCGAGCGGAACCUCUUCUUGGGUGAGAGAUCGGCAAGCCGCGCUGUUAUGGGGCUUGUAUUGCGGAGAUUUAUGUUUCAAACAAGAAAUCGAGGGUCUCCCGUAUGGGGAUCCGCCUGAUUUCCCAAUGAUGACGGGAAUAUUACACUCCCGGUCCCACUAAGCGUGCCAAUGUUUUGGCCACGAUCCUCAACAGGGGUAGAGAGGUAACUUGUGCUACCAAAAAGUAAAUUAGGGUUUGUAGGGCGUGCCACCCCGCGGACGCGGAACGAGAACGGUGCGCGUUCUUGACUUCUAAUCAGGUGAAGUAGAGCUCCGGUGUCACCUCGCGGGCGAGGAAUUACGAGCAAACUAUCUAGUCACCUGUGAAUCGAUACUCACUGUUCGAAGCGAGCAGAGCAACAAUUGGGAAAGAGAGGCGAGUCCAGACAGGCUCUGAGAUCUAAGGCGAGGUGCACUUAGAACUUAGGGUUUCGAGGAUGCUCGAAGAUUUGCAGUUGUUUUGUAUGAUUGAUUGUGUGUGUAGUCAGCUAAACCAGAUCCUCGAACUCUCUUAUAUAGCGAUCCGUAAGCAAUUCGCAGAGACCUAAUCACAAAUCCAUUCGGACUCAGCAAUUAGAAUUCCACCAGGAAACGACUAGCUCGCGAGCCGCGCGAUCCAUGCAACACGUGUCCAAAACAGACUUCGCCUAGGUCUCGCUCACCGCCCCGCAUCAUAUCACUGUAGCGUCGUACGCGAACUCGAGCACUAAGCGAUCCUAUCCCGCGGGUACUACAGUCCAUUUCCAACUCUACCUCGCCAUGCGCUUUAGAAACCUACACGAACUAGAACAAAGGAUCCCGCGAGGACAUCGAAUCCCGCGAGGUAUCAGAAUCUUUGCAAAACUCCAACUCGCGUGUUGCCAGACUUCGCCACCCUUCGUGGGCUUCGCAUUAAAAAAGGGCCACAGGUACUGGCCCAAAUGUUAUCCAAAACCUACCCCGAGU
rnacentral:lncRNA from 1 species